GCCCAGACGACCUCCGGUGGUCCGGGGUACGUGGCUUCAAACCCGUAGCUGACUGACGUCAGAGUGGUUCGAUUCCACCUUCUGGGCG